GACAACCAUAGCUUUUCCACCCAUUUUGAAUCACUUAAGAAAGUCUUUUUUGAACUUUUAUAUUUUUUAACAUUGCUUCCUUUAAACCUACAGUCUUCACAACUCCCGAGAUGUUAAACAUAUCUGAAAGAACCUGAAUAUUCCCAUUGACUCUCAUCUUUUGCUGCUUUAUCUGUAAUUAGGUGAAUUGACAGCAUUCAAUCACAUAAAUCGACUUUAUGAAGCAAAAGGACAAGAGAGAAAACACAGGUGAUGGCCUUUCAAAGUGAUGACAAGAAAGAUGCACAAUGAUCGGCGUUAAGUACCAACUAUCUAUCUCUGGUUUUUAUGUUAUCUUCUACAUGUUGAUGAUAACCUUGCUUCCACAGCAGCCACUUAAUCUUUCUUGAAUCUUCUUUCUUUUCUUCCCCUCUGCCUCUGUUAGACUCUCCUAUACUGCCUGAAGACUACAAACUGAGACCAAGUAGAAGCACUUGAAUGUCGACUGAUUUAUCCAAAAGAUGAGGAAAUGCCUAACAUACUUGACUCAGGAAUCAUCUCCUUAUGAAACCUCACCUACUCUUUAAUUCCCUCUUCUUUAGACCUAGUAGUUCUCAAAUGGCAUCCAGUUGAUUAUGACAACUUCUCAAACUUUAAUUAUCUCUCAGUACAUAGCUUGGCUUUCUCUUUCUACCAUGUAGCUUUCAUAUGUAAAUCAGAUAAUCAAAACUUUAACCCUUUUUUCCCUCUUAAGGCAAGUUAUAGCAAAAUAAUUCACUGUUUAAUUUGUAAUGGAAGACUGAUAAGAUCAUAGCAUUAUUCUGAUUCGCCCUUUCAUGUAAAUUGCAUUCAUACAUUUUCUGUAAAUUUUGGGAGAUCAAGGUGGUUUAAGACUUUCUAAAUAUGAGCGUAUCGGUGAAUUUUAUUUUAUAUAUCUUAUAUAUUGCACUAUGUACAUUUAAAUAUAUUCAAAACAAAUUGAGAAGAAAUUACAUUAAGAGAGACCAAAGGGGCCAUCACUGUGCCUGUGGCAUAGUGGGUAAAACCCUCACCUGCAGUGCCAGCAUUCCAUAUGGAUGCUGGUUCCAGUCCCGGCUGCUCCACUUCUGAUCCAACUCUCUGCUAUAGCCUGAGAAAGCAGUGGAUAACGGCCCAAGUCCUUGGGCCCCUGCACUCACAUGCGAGGCCUGCAGGAAGCUCCUGGCUCCUGGCUUCCGAUCAGCCCAGCUCCGCUAUUGUGGCUAUUUGGAGAGUGAACCAGCGGAUGGAAGACUCUCUCUCUUUCUCUCUUUCUCUAUCUCUAUCUCUAUCUUUCUCUGCCUCUGUCUCUCUGUAACUCUGCCUUUCAAAUAAAUAAAUCUUAAAAAAAAAAGACCAGAAAUGUAUUCCCUUGGUACAUAUAUUGCAAUAUAUAUUGCAAAAUCGUAAUCAGAAAAGUCUCUAAAUACAGAUAGAGAAUUAGAAAGAUAAAUAGAUGGAUAGAUUCACAGUGAUGUAUGUAGUAAGGACCUCCUUAUAUGGAGCCUCAAAAACAUCAAGGGCUAAAUCAAAAAUAUUUCUGGUAGCUUAAUAAAUAAAAUUAUAAUUUCCUUAAUUUUAUUUAUAUAAUGUAUUUAUUGGCACUACCUAUUUUUUUCUUUUUUUGGUUUGCUUUUUAAUACUCAUUGUCUAUUUUCAGUUGAAAUGUCUGUGUAAUUUUAUUAAUGGAUAACAGUUAUUCAUAUACUAUGGUUAAUAAACUUUUCCUGCUUCUUUUUUUAACUAUGUUGUACAAGUUUACUUGACUUUAAAAUUUAUUUUGAUAUUUUUUGCUCUAAUGAAAAUUUAUACUUUUUAGGGUCAAAUUUAGCAACAUUUAGAUAUAUAACUUUUUUGUUGUUUUUAUAGAAAGACAACCCUUUUAUGCACAGGUUUCUAUUUCCUCUUAAUUUCUUUUAUAGUAAACUUUUGAUAUACAUGGAUAUAAUUAAUAUUGGUGGGUAUGCAAAAACCAAAUAUAGAACAUUU